rnacentral:tRNA from 1 species
GGGUGCUUAGCUCAGUUGGUAGAGCAGCUGACUCUUAAUCAGCGGGUCGUAGGUUCGAACCCUACAGCACCCACCA